rnacentral:rRNA from 1 species
AGCGAACGCUGGCGGCGUGCCUAACACAUGCAAGUCGAACGUGAACGGGGCAACCCUAGUAAAGUGGCGCACGGGUGAGUAACACGUAGGUAAUCUACCUUAAAGUCUGGAAUAACCUGCCGAAAGGCGGGCUAAUACUGGAUAGAGCGACGAGACUUUUAAAGAGUCUUUCGGGAAAGGGAGCCUGUUAAGGGCACUUGCUUGAAGAUGAGCCUGCGUCCCAUUAGUUAGUUGGCGGGGUAAAAGCCCACCAAGACGAUGAUGGGUAGCUGGUCUGAGAGGAUGAUCAGCCACACUGGAACUGAAACACGGUCCUGACUCCUACGGGAGGCAGCAGUGGGGAAUCUUGCGCAAUGGACGAAAGUCUGACGCAGCCACGCCGCGUGAGUGAAGAAGGCCUUCGGGUUGUAAAGCUCUGUCGGGAGGGAAGAACAUUGGUUGGGUUAAUAGCUCAGUCAACUGACGGUACCUCCAAAGGAAGCACCGGCUAACUUCGUGCCAGCAGCCGCCGUAA